AUGGUGCGAGUCACAGAAAAGGCCUCCACACAGUGUGAACACUGCUCAGCAGUAACUACAUCAUCAUUGUCUGUAGCAGGAUACUCUGCCCUUGGACUGUGGUCAAACAACUCGAACAAUGCCUUAUUUUGCAAGCUGUCAGUGAUGGGCUGAGAGGCGUGACAGAAGUCUUUCUGUCAAGUGGAAAAAAUCACCUAGAAGCAAGAUUUAAAGUCAAGGUUUACAUCUGUGUGUUUCAAGACCCCAUAUAAACACAUUUCUCACUCAUCUUUCAGAGAGGAACUUUAGCCACAACAAUUGAAGCAUUGUGAUUCAGAAUGAGUAUUGGUCAAGAUGGAGAGAGAGAAGAGAUUGUUGAGGAAGCCUUCAACAUUUGAAGGUCAACUUGUUUACUACAAGAUCUGCAGUAUCAUGAGCAAUAUAUGAAUUAAUUGUUAAGGAGAUGAGUUUUUUCCCAAGAAUCAGCAAAUAAAACUGGAGGAGAUGCCACAUGUGAAGCCACAUUGUUGUGCAGAAAAAUAGUGUCUCUCUACCAAAUCUUGAUUUAUAAGGCAAGUGAAACAGCAGUACUUCCAUCACCCUUAUCACAGAAAGAGCAGUUUCCUGGAUAAAUUCAAUGAAACAAUCAAAAAGAGAGUUGUUAGGGCUAGUUUGAUGUAUGAAUGCAGAUAGUUAAGAUUCCCUUAAUACUUAUUAGCCCUUCCUCUGCUAGUGAGAUUUACCAGAAAAUCAUAUAUUGAGAUACAGACUCGAGGCAAAGAGAAGUAAUGCAUGAUUUGUGA